rnacentral:rRNA from 1 species
AACGAACGCUGGCGGCAGGCUUAACACAUGCAAGUCGAACGAGACCUUCGGGUCUAGUGGCAGACGGGUGAGGAACACGUGGGAACAUCCCUUUCAGUUCGGAAUAACGUUGGGAAACUAACGCUAAUACCGGAUACGUCCUCCGGGAGAAAGAUUUAUCUAUGAAAGAUUGGCCCGCGUCUGAUUAGCUAGUUGGUGAGGUAAUGGCUCACCAAGGCUACGAUCAGUAUCUGAUCUGAGAGGAUGAUCAGCCACAUUGGGACUGAGACACGGCCCAAACUCCUACGGGAGGCAGCAGUGGGGAAUAUUGGACAAUGGGCGCAAGCCUGAUCCAGCCAUGCCGCGUGAGUGAUGAAGGCCUUCGGGUUGUAAAGCUCUUUUGUCCGGGAAGAUAAUGACUGUACCGGAAGAAUAAGCCCCGGCAAACUUCGUGCCAGCCGCCGCGGUAA